rnacentral:rRNA from 1 species
UACGUAGGUGACCAGCGUUGUCCGGAUUUACUGGGCGUAAAGAGCGCGCAGGCGGUCGUUCAAGUCGAGUGUGAAAGCCCCCGGCUCAACUGGGGAGGGUCACUCGAUACUGAUCGACUUGAAGGCAGGAGAGGGAAGCGGAAUUCCCGGUGUAGUGGUGAAAUGCGUAGAUAUUGGGAAGAACACCAGUGGCGAAGGCGGCUCUCUGGCCCGGACCUGACGCUGAGGCGCGAAAGCGUGGGGAGCAAACAGG